AUGCUCAACAUUGGGGCUGUGCUGCUGUUACUAAUUGGUGUGACGGAUGGUGUGAAGACCUUCUGCAACGCCACACAGCCACACAUCACGACCCAGUGCUUUGGCUCUCUGGGAGGAACCGUGGAGGUCCUGCUCGUGCUGCCUACUCAGUCCUCACAAAAUGAUACCUUCAGACUGAAGAACAACAAUGUCACGAUUUUAUCAGAACGCAAUCAGACAAACAUUCGAUAUUCAUUUAAUGUCAGUACUGGAAUAUUUACUAUAAAGGACAUCGACAGGACAGACAAUGAUGAAUACUCAAUGGAAGUACAUAAUGCAUCUGGAAACCAAGUAGCAUUUACGAAAUGUUAUUUAACCAUUGAAGCCCCGGCCUCCUCUCCCCUCCUGUCCCGGCAGUGUCUGUCCCGGGGACAGCAGAGGGUGUCCUGCUCUGCCGGGGGGGACGGACUCCACUACAGCUGGAGUCCAGACGGACUCCCGCUGAACGACACGCGUGUCCACUCCGGACCCGGUAACGCUAGUGACGUCACUCUGGAGGUGGGCUGGGCGGGACUGGUCACCUGCUCGGUCAGCAACAACGUGAGCCACGCCGCGGCUAACAUCACCUUGUCUGUGUGUGACGGGUUCAUUUAUGUGAACUGCACAUCUAAUGGAACACAUAUAUCACAGUGGGUGCACGGAGACAACAAUACCUUAUGCCCUGAGGCAGCGGUCACUGUGGGACCCACAGACGAUGUCAAUACAACGGAGCUCGUCCCUAUAAUAGCUGGUUCCCUGUCAGCGAUAGCACUGCUCCUGAUAGUAGUAUUGGGAGUCUACUGCGCAAAAAAGCACAAAACCUCAAAAGACACCACAGAGGCGGAGGAUGUAACCUACGCAGACAUCUCUGUGCUCCAGCGUCAGGGGCAGCGGAGAGAGCAGGGGGCGGG
rnacentral:lncRNA from 1 species